rnacentral:rRNA from 3 species
AAUACAUGCUAGUAGACGAAAGCCAUGGCAUCAUCGACAUCUCGGUGAGAUGCGAUGGUGUUUUGGCGUAAGUAUGCGAACAGGUGAGGAAACCCGGGACCCAAGCCUCGGAGCUGGGCCGGAGUCGUAUUAGGUAGAAGGCGGUGUAAAAGACCACCUUGCCGAAGAUGCGCAGCUCUUAACCCGAAGCCACACUUCCACUGAAACAAGGGGAAGACUCAUAACGUCCUUUAGGGCGAGGCAGCAGUAGAGAAUCUUGUGCAAUAUACGAAAGUAUGACACAGAGAGCACACAUCCACCUAGUCCGUCAAAUUAAGUGCCAGCAGACGCGGUUAGACUUAAGGGCUAGCCUUUAUAGGUCAAAAGGCGUAAAGGGUGUGUAGGCCCCUUUGGAACCUCAAGAGGGUAAAUGAAAUUUUUCUGUAACGGUAGAAUGUGUAGAUAGAAAAUAGAACUCCAAAGGCGAAGGCAAUUUACCUCAGAAUAAAACACCACCACGAGAGCGAAGCUCUUUUUUAUGGGUGGAUCGAAGAUCUACCUUGGGGCUGAAACACGAAAGUGUGGGGAGCAAACAGGAUUAGAGACCCUGGUAGUCCACACUGUGAACUAUGAAGAAAAUGUUAGGCAACUCCGAAAGGUAAUAAAUCUUCCGCCUGAGUAGUACGAUCGCAAGAUUAAAAUUCAAAGAAUUUGGCUGUUCACUGUUUCGAUUAGAGGAGCGUGUAGUUUAAUUCGAUAAUCCGCGAGAUACCUUACCCAAACUCGAACCGCUAGACCGGUAUUGCAUGGCCGUCGUCAGUUCGUGUGUAAAACUUAAAACGGACUCAACCCGGGGGCAAGUCUCUCGGAUGAAGUCAGGUCUUAUGAUCCUAAUGUUUGGGGAUUAUAUGCGCUACAUUUUCUUAUACAAUGGGAGACCCGGAUGGUGAAACCCAAAAGUAAGAGUUCGGAAGGUAACUGGAAUACGACCGAAAGUUGGAUUUAAUAGUAAUCGGAAAGUAGAGCGUUCCGGUGAAUUGAUGCAAGUGUUAGUACAAAUCGCCCGUCACCUUUGCCUAGGACGAUAGUUCGGAAGCCGCCCGGUUGUGGCGGUUACGAAUAUCUACGAGGUUGAGCAAGUCGUAACAUAGUGAGGGAGGGGGAACCUUCCCUUGGGGGAGUUUG